UGUGCUCUUGCGAUCUCGUUACAAGUGGUGACCUGCCGACGUGAUUCUGGUCUAAAACCAGAGAUCACUUAUCAACAAAAAAAAUCCAGUUUUUCUGCGAAGUCGGAACACGAUUUAACUCUAUGCAUUCAUCUUUCGACGAUUUGUUUCCGGCCACCACAA